AUGUGCGGUUGGAUGCCCGUACUUAAGAUACCGUCGCCGUAGAGUGAGGGAAAAAUGAAUCUACGAACCAGGAAUUUGGGAAAUCUUUGGAAAAGCUGAUAUUAGUAAAGCAGAGCCAUUAGAGACGUUUGUAUCGCUACUCUCUCUCUCUCUCUCUCUCUCUGCUUUGUCUUCGAACGUUUCAGAAACUUCUGCAAUUUCAGUGCUGGUGGCAUUGCACCAUUCAGUGGCGCUUCGGCUACCAGUUGGGCUGAUAUAGUGGAUGCAUCAGAAUGCAACAUCCCCUCGUUCACGUCGUGAGAUUUCGGUCCCCUAUCUAAUCAACGAAAUAUUUACUCCUCACAACAUUGGCUUUGGCGUCACCAGAGAACUGGCACUGGAAGCAGUACACAAGUUAAUUGGUUCUUCUAACAGUGGAAAAGAUCCUACAACACCACUUGUUCCCCUAGAUAGAAAUGCCCAAAGGACUCGUCAUAGGAAAACAUGCUGAUCAUCUUGGAUUAUAGCGUGGGGGAUAGACACAUGGCAUGGGAGAGUAGUGGCAGAAUUAGAACUGGCACAACCAUCUUGGAUGCCAUUAAAGUAGCAGUAGGAGAUGAAACACAAGUCAUUUAUGAGUGGUGUUCAUCACCAGACACCAUUUUACGUCAACAUCUCCUUUUCCAUUGGUGUUGUAUGGCAAGCACCAUGUCUGGAGACCAUGGGUGACAACUCUGAAGUCAUCAUCCCCUUCAAUGGCACCAGCAUGAUAGAACUUGGUCACUGACAGAGUUCCACAUCAAUGAUUCUGUUAUCUUGAAGGCUCCUAGUUCCUGAGAGCCAUGAAUGUUGGAGAAAGUGGAGAGUUUGGUUGAUUCUUGGUUGACAGGGAGUGAGGUAAGGGGAGUAGUACAUGUUACCUUUUGAGAUUUAUGAAUUUUAGGGUCUUCUCCCCAUCAUGUGAUUCAGCAGUGGAUCAGAUGCCUAUGAAUAAUGGGGAUCAGUCUAGUGGUUUUGGACUCAGAACCAAGUAGCAGUAAACAUUGUCAUUUGAUUUCUAAUGAUAAUUAUUAGCUUCUUAGCUAA